AUGUGUGUCAGAGUUGAAAUGAGCUGUUGUAGAAUGUAGAUUUCAUUAUAAAUCUCUUAAUAUGUGAAUUUCAAACAUUAAAGAAUGAUGGUGCCCCUAUUUACUUUCCUGAUAGUUUUUGGUGGACCAGUUGAUAUCCAGGCUCACUGUGACUCAAUCUUCAGAUGUCCAGUGAUACAAUAGUUGAAUAGUCAUGAUGAUAACAAUUUUACCCAAGUUGGAAACUUUGGGAGAAAGGUUCUGUCUACUGAUGAGAGGACCAGACUGGUAGAGAACAUUGUAGGCCACCUGAUGGAAGCCCAAGAUUUCAUUCAAAAGAGACCAGUCCAAAACUUUUCUAAGGUUGACCCUGAGUUUGGACAGCGGGUCAUGGAUGGACUCAGCCUUGGAAAGACAGGAAAGGACAAAACUGGUGCCAACUUGUAGAAGACUAGAAAGUUUAAGAAGUCGUCAACUUGACCAACAAAUGAAGGGGAAAAAAUAUGUUUCGUUAUCAUAAUUCUUACCUAUUUGAAAUUUUAUCUGUUGCUACAAAUUUUUAACUACAUACUUGUGUUAUGGUGAUUAUAUUGUUAUUGUUACAUAAAGUGCUUUUGUUUUGUAUUUUGAGAUAUCUAAACAUGUAGUCUGAUUUUCAGGUGUUAAAUAAUAAGAUUUUUUUUUCCUGUCCUAUCAGUAUUCAUGUUUCAGGCUUAUCUUAUUUCUUCUUAUUAUCAUUACAUUUGUUUAACUUAAAAGCUCUCAGCAGACAGGGUAUUUCUGUGACUCUCUUUUAUACAUUUGUUGGAUGAGGAUGUGUUUCUGGUGGUGUGGUAUUCCUAUUGGACUGUCAUCACAAAAGUCUGGGGGUGUGGUAUUCCUUUUUGUCCUGCAGUUAAGGCAAGGACGUAACAAUCAUUCAUUUUGUGAAUGAACAUCUGAAAUGUAUAAAAUAAAACUGAUCAUAAUAUGGGCAUAAAAAAAAAAUUAAUGUUAGUUAUUAUCAGUUAAUUAAACUAGAUUUUUAAGUACAUUUUUUUUUGUCUAUUAACCUUCCUGGCAAGUUUACUUCUGUUCUUUGUAGGAACAGGAUUUUUCCUGACGACAUUGCAUUGCUCCAGAAGAUUUGUAUUCAAUGAAACUGAUUGAUUCCACUAUUUUUCUUCUUUCUUUUAUCUAAAGCUUUGUUUUAAAUUGCUUUUGAAUCAAGUCCUAGAGAUAUUGUGAUCAUCACAAAUAUAAUUUUUUUAGUGCUUGGUUUAUGUUUUAAGGUUUUUUAAACCUGACCGGAUGAUAUGAUGAUGUCAUGUGAAGGGAGCCAGUGGUCUAAAGUUUUGGCUAUGGGUGCAUGCAUGAAUAUCAAUGGUUUGUAGUCUCAGCCAUGAGGAGUAUAUUUGACUUAAAAUAAAAUCCUUAGUUUCAUGUGCUGGUGCUAACAAGCUUGUAAUGUGCUAUAUUUGGAUGUGUUACUCUUAGACAUGUGUAUUUGAACACAGUGAUGUUACAAGUACAUAUCCAGUGUUGAGUGAUAAAGAAUUUAUAUCAACAUAUAAGAUACUUACAACUUUUGUUGGAAAUAAAAUCAUCUCUGUUAAUAAUG
rnacentral:sRNA from 1 species